AUGACGAGUCAAUGAGCGUUUCAUGACGAAAUCGUCGAAAAUGACAUGUCCUAGAUGAUCCAAGAUGCAAGUCCAAAACUACGGUGGCUUGUCCAUGAUGAUACCAUAUCACACGACUCCUCCUUUCAGGCUGAUGCGUGCAGCAUGGUUAUGGAGGGAUUUUUCUACUGUCUCUAAGAAAAGGAUGCUGAUUCUCAUGUGGUGAAGAACUCAGAACUGCACAAUCUCAAGAACAGGUCGCUUGCAUUUGCAUACCGUGGUGAUUGGCGAAGAGGCUGCUGGGGUUGAGAGGAUCAGGCUGGGGCUUCCGGCGCCGCUUGUUGUGCCCGUCAAGCCGCUUCCUGCAGCUCCUCUUCUCCUCGUCGAACUCCCCGAGCAAAUGAAACCUAUCAAAAGCAUUCAUCCUGUCAGGUCAGGGUGAAACACAUGAGGAACAGAUGGAACUGCAAGAUUUGUUUUCGCGUUCAGGUGAAUAUCAGGUGACGAAUUCGUUGCGCGAGUGAGGUGAGCCACGAAUGCGACGGCGACGCAUGGCCCCCCUGCAAGUCCCAGUUCCGUUGUAUUCUGCCCAUCUGCUGCUGCUGCUGCUGCUGCGUCGUCGUGGGGACAAAAGACGAUGGUGUCCCGAGGAAGAAGAAGCACGGGUGGGCAAAUGCAGGCGCCCAGCUGCAUGCUGCUUGUCUGGUUCAGAUUCUUUCAGACUUCAGGACCAGAUGGCCACUCAGAAACGAUCUCCACCAAUGUUAAAAGUUAGUUGGUGAUUCUAGCCUAAUAAAACUUAGCUUUUUUUUUCAAACAAAAUAAAAAGAAUUGAACUUUGAGUUGCUCUGUCUGAAUGUGCUGUGCUGCUGUUUGCAUAAAAAUUCAACCUUUGGAGGCGGCGUAGAGACUAGAGAGAGAAUUGAGCAGCUGGUCUGAAAUUCUGAAUUACUGUGGGGUUGGAAACAGAUGGAUAACCAGAAGUUUCGGGUGGUGCUGCACGUCGGCUCGUUAAUUGCAAACGCCAAAAUACCGUCAUGAUAGCAAACGGACAGAAAACUAAUUGCUUUUUCGACA